rnacentral:lncRNA from 1 species
CCCCGGCGCCCGGUUCCCUCGGGGCUGGCACGGCCGGACCCAAACCCGCAGGAAUUAAAAAGCAAUACAAAUAACUAACUAAGCAAACGGGCAGAACGAAGGUGCGGCUGAAUAAUUACGGGCAGGUGGAGCCUCCUGCGCUUGUGCCCGUUGCUGGUCAUUCUGUCACCGGGUCCUGUCACCUCGCCCGGACCCGUCCCAGCCGCUCCAGCCGGGGCAGCAAAGCAGGUGGAAGUCGCUUGGGUUGAAAUGGGGUGAAAUUCGCUCUCGUACAGCUCAGCCGGCUGGACUCGAUGAUCCUGAGGGUCUGUUCCAACCAAAAUGAUUGUAAUCCGCAGCGGGGAGGAGCCUGGCAGAGCUGCAGGUCCCUGUAAAAGAGAAAUCAAUGAGUGAACAUCAACCCAGCGCAGCACCGCGUCCUCUUUGGCUCCACGUUUUGGCACACGCGUGUUUUCCCCACACGUUUUCACUUGAACAUGAAUAGUUUUAACCCUAAAGCACAAAUUUAGCUCUUCUGUAAUAAAAGGAAAACCCUGAAAGAGCCCAAGAGUAAAGACCCCGGCAUUUGGGGCAGCAAACAAUGUCUGUCCAGACGCUGCAUUCCACUUACGCUAUGUAAAAUUUUAGCCUGAAUUCUGGUAUUUUGGGGAGUAAAUCAGAUUUACAAGCGCUUGCCCAGCUCAUUCCGCAUCCACCUGGCGUGUUUGUGCCUUCUCUGACAGAUUCUAUCUUAUUCUAUCCCAUGUGUAAGGGUCUUGCAAACAUCAAAGCAACGACUGUAGCCAGGGACGUGUACUCUUGUUGUGGAGGGUUCACACGCGCGAUUGUUAUUAAUUCCAAUGGUGGGGCUGUGUCAGCAAAGGCACCGGAUCCGCAUCGGCCCCCAGUCCCCACCCAUCGCGGUUCCUCCCAAAAACAGCUGAAAAACCUCCGUUUCCAGCUUAUUUUGGUGUCGCGGCGCAGGUGCCCAACCGUACCAUACCAGCACAGCAUCAAACUGGCUUCCUAUCAGCUCCCAGUCUGGAUUUCAGCUGCUUUUUGCCAAAAAACAA